UGGGGAAUAUUGCACAAUGGGCGCAAGCCUGAUGCAGCCAUGCCGCGUGUAUGAAGAAGGCCUUCGGGUUGUAAAGUACUUUCAGCGGGGAGGAAGGGAGUAAAGUUAAUACCUUUGCUCAUUGACGUUACCCGCAGAAGAAGCACCGGCUAACUCCGUGCCAGCAGCCGCGGUAAUACGGAGGGUGCAAGCGUUAAUCGGAAUUACUGGGCGUAAAGCGCACGCAGGCGGUUUGUUAAGUCGGAUGUGAAAUCCCCGGGCUCAACCUGGGAACCGCAUUCGAAACUGGCAGGCUAGAGUCUUGUAGAGGGGGGUAGAAUUCCAGGUGUAGCGGUGAAAUGCGUAGAGAUCUGGAGGAAUACCGGUGGCGAAGGCGGCCCCCUGGACAAAGACUGACGCUCAGGUGCGAAAGCGUGGGGAGCAAACAGG
rnacentral:rRNA from 1 species